CACCAUAGGAGUAGUAUUCCCUAAAGGUGUAGUCCCGGAGUGGAACGCCUUUGUUGAACAGCAAUGACGGUAUCUGGGGAAUAAGCAUUGGUUAACUCUGUGCCAGCAGCCGCGGUAAUACAGAGGAUGU
rnacentral:ncRNA from 1 species